AAAAGGGCCAAGAAGUCAGCCUCAGCAUCAGCCAGCGCACUGCCACCAUCACCUGAGCAAGAGGAGCAAGAGAGAGGGGACAACCAGCUGGAGCACUGCCACCAUCACCUGAGCAAGAGAGAGGGGACAACCAGCUGGAGCACUGCCACCAUCACCUGAGCAAGAGGAGCAAGAGAGAGGGGACAACCAGCUGGAGCACUGCCACCAUCACCUGAGCAAGAGGAGCAAGAGAGAGGGGACAACCAGCUGGAGCACUGCCACCAUCACCUGAGCAAGAGGAGCAAGAGAGAGGGGACAACCAGCUGGAGGAGCACCAUCACCUGAGCAAGAGGAGCAAGAGAGAGGGGACAACCAGCGCACUGCCACCAUCACCUGAGCAAGAGGAGCAAGAGAGAGGGGACAACCAGCGCACUGCCACCAUCACCUGAGCAAGAGGAGCAAGAGAGAGGGGACAACCAGCGCACUGCCACCAUCACCUGAGCAAGAGGAGCAAGAGAGAGGGGACAACCAGCUCACUGCCACCAUCACCUGAGCAAGAGGAGCAAGAGAGAGGGGACAACCAGCUGGAGGAGCACCAUCACCUGAGCAAGAGGAGCAAGAGAGAGGGGACAACCAGCUGGAGGAGAUUCCUCUGACCAGAGAGUACUGCCUGUCCUGGGCAGUACAUCAACGAGUGAUGAAGGGACAUAAAAGCUUUGACAUCGUGACGUCCCACGUCAACCAUAUUAAAACGAGGUAGGGUGGCAACCAGAGCUCCAAAUAAAAAUGUGGUCAAAUUCUUAUUAACUCCCUAUUUUAAAAAUUAAUUCUUAUUUUACCCCCUAUUUAUAAAAUUAAUUCUUAACAAUAUGUUACCAAACAAUGUUUUAUUCAUAGUUUUUGACACAUCAACAAUUCAACAAUUUAGUUUAUAGUCUUGGAAAAGCCUGGCUUUCCUUCUCUGUUUCUUUCUUUCCCAUGAUCGGACAGCUUGGCAAGAGCUUAUGAGUUCAUCAAUUAUUGACGAAACCAUGCUUUGGGUAUUUGAAUCUAAUUGAAAGAAUGCAUGCAGUGUGGACAUUUGACACUGAAAUGGCUUUUUUUGCCUUUCACGCUUCGAUACACCGCUUCGGUCGACCAUUUCCAUUUUUAUGUAAUACGGUCACUGACACUUCGGCUUAGGUCAUAAUGGCCUUUUGGUCGCCGUUCAAGUCAUAUCAAAAACUAUAUUUAACAUUUAAUUUUAAUGACAUUUUGAAUAGGAAUACAGUAUAUUACUUGUGUAUAAAAAUUACGAUAAGUGUAAUUAAAAUGGUUCAAUAAACAAUAAUGACUCGCCUGCAUUACUAGGAGAACAUAAUCGAGACCGUUUGGCCUAUUGACCGUUCUUAGGUGUGGCUUUUCAUCACAGCAAAUGCUUGAGUGACGUUGACUUAAAGUUGUAGUUUUAAUUGAGCGCCUAGACGAGUCAGAACCGGGAUGAAAUGUUUACCGUAUAUAAUUUGCUACUGGAAGUUUUACGCAAUUUCGAAAAUUUCGAAUUCGUGUUUUAUUUUUUCAAUGCGUAACUUCACCCAAAGAUUUUUAAUCUAAAUCGUUAUUUAAAAAAUUUAAUUCGUUUUUACGCCUUUACGCAUGUUAUCUGGAGCACUGGUGGCAACGCCAAAAAAAGCAAGCAGCAGGAAACCAUGAUGAAGGUUAACCGGUUUUUUGCCCUCUGUGGAUACAAGGAGGGGGACACACUGGACUGAGUGCUGGUCUGGAAGGCCCACUUAGUGGUCCAGGAUACCUACAUUACCCGGGACGAUAACCUGGGGACAGUGCGAUCUGUCCUUCUGUCCGUCAGACCAUUUUUGCAGUGGGCAAAAGGCCGAACGCAUCCUCCAAGGCUGUCAGGCAACAACCAGUCAAGAGGUUAGGCAGCGGGAGGUCCAGCUGCAGGUGCAAGAAAGCGAUACCAUCCCGCUGGAUCCCUUGCUGGCCCAAAACUUCAGUGAGAGCCAGUGGGUGAAGCGAACGAUGACAGAGUUGAAGGCAUGCCCAGCCGAUGCCUAUAAGGAGGUGCGGGGGAUGACAGAGUUCAAGGCAUGCCCAGCCGAUGCCUAUAAGGAGGUGCGGGGGAUGACAGAGUUCAAGGCAUGCCCAGCCGAUGCCUAUAAGGAGAACACCAUUUUUGCUGCAAUGAUUUUGAUUGGGCAAGCGCCUGCCACGACCUGUUACACCGCAGCGGAUGUAAAGGCGCUGAAAGCAGAAUUGUUCGAUGGCUACGACGUCGCGGUGCGACCCACUGCAUGACAACCAGAAUGAGCCAAUUGGUAGUGCUUUUUUCUUAACUACAUCUUUCAUUAUUAUAUUCGAGCAUUUUAACAUGUGUCAAACGAAUUCAAACUGAAUGUUAGUAUUUUCAGGUUUUAUUUGAGUGGAUUACAAUACAUUAAUCUUGCUGUGACUAAAAAAACAAUUGGACAAGAAAAAUAGUUUGCAAUUAAAAAAAAAAAAAAAGAACAUUUUUAUCCAGAUUCCCAACAAAAAACGAGAAACUAUUUAGCAAAGGACUUGUUAGACAAAGAAAUGUUACAUUCAAUGAAACAGUUUAUAAUUAAUGAAGGAAAAAAGGGACAGAUACUGAACAGUGUUGUUGAGUUUUUGGAAAAUAACUAACAAACAAAU